rnacentral:rRNA from 1 species
ACUCCUACGGGAGGCAGCAGUGGGGAAUAUUGGACAAUGGGGGAACCCGUGAUCCAGCCAUGCCGCGUGUGUGAAGAAGGCCUUUUGGUUGUAAAGCACUUUAAAGCGAGGAGGAGGCUUACCUGGUUAAUACUGGGAUAAGUGGACGUUACUCGCAGAAUAAGCACCGGCUAACUCUGUGCCAGCAGCCGCGGUAAUACAGNGGGUGCAAGCGUUAANCGGAUUUACUGGGCGUAAANCGCGNGUAGGUGGCUAAUUAAGUCAAAUGUGAAAU